AUGCUGCCCAGAAUAAAAGACGAUGCAGUCCAGAUAAAAACAUUGUAUGGCUCAAUAAUCUUUACCAAACUUGAUGCAUCAGAUGAAGUCUUUGACUAUCUAGAAAGGGAUUUUGUAAGCUAGUACUGGACAUGAAGACAGUCACUUGGAAAUGAUGAUUGUGCAACAGCGGUUAAACAUAUGCAAUACAUCAUAUGGUGACCAGACAGGGAGGAAACUAGGGAAAUGGUUAUCCACCAACAGCCCAAGUGCUUGGUUGAUAAGAGGAGCCACAGCAUUAAACAUUACUGCACAAAGUGGUGUGCUUUGCUAACACUUAUGCUUGUGAUUUGAUAAAAAAGCAAUGAAUGAACGCUCAUUAUUCAUAACUAUAACUAAAACAUUGAUGUCAAAAGUUGUCAAUUUUCAACAUAUAUAGUAUUUGAGAUCCUGAUCUAUAGUUGUGUGCAAUGGAUUAUCAAAGAAAAACAAAAGAGUGGGCAACAAAAUGAAUAGCAUAAUGCACCAGUCAAUUGUAACCACAUCCCGCCCCCAGGUCCGGGGACUUUUGACUUU